rnacentral:rRNA from 1 species
UACGUAGGGUGCAAGCGUUAAUCGGAAUUACUGGGCGUAAAGCGUGCGCAGGCGGCUUUGCAAGACAGAUGUGAAAUCCCCGGGCUUAACCUGGGAACUGCAUUUGUGACUGCAUGGCUAGAGUACGGCAGAGGGGGAUGGAAUUCCGCGUGUAGCAGUGAAAUGCGUAGAUAUGCGGAGGAACACCGAUGGCGAAGGCAGUCCCCUGGGCCUGUACUGACGCUCAUGCACGAAAGCGUGGGGAGCAACAGG